rnacentral:rRNA from 1 species
AUUGAACGCUGGCGGCAUGCCUUACACAUGCAAGUCGAACGGCAGCACGGGAGCAAUCCUGGUGGCGAGUGGCGAACGGGUGAGUAAAGUAUCGGAACGUGCCCAGUCGUGGGGGAUAACGUAGCGAAAGUUACGCUAAUACCGCAUACGAUCUAUGGAUGAAAGCGGGGGAUCGCAAGACCUCGCGCGAUUGGAGCGGCCGAUGUCAGAUUAGGUAGUUGGUGGGGUAAAGGCUCACCAAGCCGACGAUCUGUAGCUGGUCUGAGAGGACGACCGGCCACACUGGGACGGAGACACGGCCCAGACUCCUACGGGAGGCAGCAGUGGGGAAUUUUGGACAAUGGGCGCAAGCCUGAUCCAGCCAUGCCGCGUGCAGGAUGAAGGCCUUCGGGUUGUAAACUGCUUUUGUACGGAACGAAAAGGUUUGACUUAAUACGUUGGACUCAUGACGGUACCGUAAGAAUAAGCACCGGCUAACUAUGUGCCAGCAGCCGCCGUAA